GCCUUCGUGGUGUAGUGGUUCUUCACGCUGGGCCUAUAUUCCAGAAGCCCGUGGUUCGAUACCCGGCGAAGGCG
rnacentral:tRNA from 1 species